rnacentral:lncRNA from 1 species
UCACAUUGAGAUCUCCAUCCCUGAAAUGCAGAUGGAACACAAUUGGAGCAAAUCCAACCAUCACUGCAAUCGCUUUCGACCUUGCAGUAUUUCAAGCAAAUUAUUAUAUCACCUAAUGGAAGUAAUUUGUCUUUCAUCAUUGCAACAUCUUCGGGUAAUUCUCUUAAAGCCAUCACUUGCAACUUAGGAGAUCCAGAGAGAUUAACUGCACAUGUUGAAAACAUAACAAAGACUAGGAAUUAAUAAUGUGAUCUUUACACAUGCAUAUGGCCGGCUGGAUUUACUGUUUAUUUUUUGUUGGUGUAACGGCAAAGUUGUGUCCAUGUGAUCUACAUAUCACAGAUUCAAGCUGUGCAGGUAACCAUUAAUUUAUGCAUUAGGGUAGGUCGUGUACAUCAGACUCGGUCCUUCUCCGGACACUGCGUAUGGGAUGCCCGGGCUGCCUCUUUUGGGAUACAUAGAUUACUACAUUGGCUGUAUAUACAUUGCUAUGCACAUUAUAUAUGAAUAAUUCAUAUCUUAUACAUCAGCUGAUAAUGUUUAGUUUAUAUGGUUGGAUAAGCGGCUAUGUAAGUUAAUUCUUCAAUAAUAUACGCAAAAACUUACAAAUUGAUUUACGUAUACGUAUAAUAAUUAUUAUAAAAGGAGAGAAUAGUGGUAAUGUUUUGAACCUGUAAUUGCAACAAAGAGAGCAGUCAAGAGAAAAGCUUGCUUAAAGUACGCCAUUUUUACGAUUCUUUGGGUAAAUAUGUAAGAUAGAAGUGUGUGAAUAUUGGUGCUUUUUUCUUUUAAUGGGAAGAUAGUAUUUAUAGACCUAAUAAUUUUUAUCUUCUCCUUCUAUAUUAUAAUUUUUAGUACUCCUUUCGUUUCAUAUUAUUUGAGCUAAUUUGACUCGAUACAAAAUUUAAAAAAAAAAAAGAAAAAUUGUAAAACUUGUGGUCUUAAAAGAAUAAGGGUAAAAGGUUUGUGGGGUCAUUCUAUUUGUGUGGUUAUAAAAACUUCUCAUUAAGAGCAAAAAAAGUAAAAUGAAGAGUUUAAAGUUGAAUGAUUUUCAAAUUUAAAAUUGUGUCAUAUAUUUUAAACAGAUUAAAAAGGGAAGUACCUCAAAUAAUAUGAGACAGAGUUAUUAACUGUCAAGAGUUGAUAUUACUGAACAAAAGUUUUUACUCGGCUUGGACUCUUUCCAACUCUGUACCAAAUUUUCUUUUUCGUUUUUAAGAAGUAAUAGUUGAAUGAAAGUUAAUUAUAAUAAUUAUUAUUAUUAUUGUCAAAGAUUUAAAUAUUGAUAAGUUGAUGGUUGAAUUUGAUUGUAAAAAGGUGCUCACUGCUGUUAAUUUAAACGUGUCUAAUUUGUCGGAAUUUGGUGGCAUAAUUGGAGAUUGUUUGACUUUGAAAAAUGAAUUUCAUGAUUUAUCCUUAUAUUGGACUAGGGGGAUACAAAUAAAUCGGCUCACUCUCUUAUUCAGAUAGCUUAAUUUAUCUUAUGCAACUCGUGUUACUUGGAAUUCCUAUCUAUCAUGUUUAGCUUCUAUUCUGAUAUUCCCUGAUGUAACUCUAUUUUGGCCUGAUAAUUAUUGUUGUGCUAAACUAGUCCAAUUUGCUCUUAACGUGGUAUGAUGUUAUUUUCUUUGGAUUAAACUUAUAUGGUUUUUUUCAAAAUGUCUCAUACUAUUAAGAGAUCUCUACAUAUUAUUUGUAGACUUCCAAUCUUUUCAGCUAUUAAUGUAGCAUUUUAUUUGCACAAACAAAAAUCUCCCUCUCAAACUAAGCUCUACUUAGCACAGUACCAUGAUUCACUAGUCUCCCACUUGAACUAAGUUCCACGUGGUCCAUUACCACGGCUCACAGGUCAAUUUUUGAGAUUCACUCUGUGCCACCUAUAUUGUUAGAGAAUUAUAGCAACCGAAGCAUGCAAGGCUACAACUAGCUUCUUCUUGUGUGUGCUUCGUCCUACACCAUCAGUUUGCCAUCUCUAUAAUCUUCCCGUCGAACAUAGGCUCUAAUUCCCGUUGUUGGGUUAAACUAACCGAAAUAUGUUUUUUACAUUGUGUGAUAUAAUUCGCUUUGACCCAUAUUAGUACGGUUAUUUUCAAAAGGCCUCACACUAUAAAGAGAUAUUUAUAUCUUAUAGGUAGACUUUUAUUCUUUUUCGUUAACUAUAUAAAAUUAUGUUCGCACACCCAAUAAUUAUUACAUAUUUGUUCCUUUAAAAAGAAAAAUUGUUAGAAUUAUUAUUGUCAUUUGUACUGUUGUCGGCCAAAUGGCAUCCACUAUUUUUUGACCCACGCUGUGUAGAGUGAUGUGAAAGAGCAAUAAUUUAAUUAAAGAGAUCGUGAGUUAGGCAGGGAUAUAAUUGUAGAGAUCUACGGUGGACCAAUUUGUCGAUGCAAGUUCUAAUGACAAGAUAUUUAUUAAAAUGUUAUGGUCUAGUAAAUUUUUAGAUUGAUCAUUCAAAAAUAAUCAGAGUUCACUAGGUAAAUGAAAAAUAGAUACUAUUUUAUUACAAUAAAAACUUUUGAAAUUAUAACUAUUUUUGAAUGACUACUAGUAAAAUAACUAUUUUUGAAUUUAUCCCAAGAUACUCUAUGUAGUUGGCCCAUAUGUGUGAUUUCAAAAGUUGGAUAAUUGUUAAUAACUAGGGAUGGACAUUGAAUUUAAUGAACUAUUAUUUGAUACGGCCAAGAAAGUACAAUAAGAUUAUGACCAUCGUAAUUCGUAUCCCUAUUUCAUUGCGGUGACAUAACUAAGUAUAUUAAAGACAAUUUUACUGAUUCGUUUUGGUCUGAAAGUUACAUUUUGACAGAGAAAAUAUGUAAAUUUUUUGUAUAUCCAUAAGUUAUUUAAAUCCCCUUAAAGCCAGGUAUAUUCACUUAUAGUGCAAGUUAUUUGCAUUUUCUUGUUUCGAAUACUCUCAUUAGAAUAUCUGGCUUAAUUCGCCAAUUAUUUUUUGAUGGGGGUUAGAACUAAGAGAAGAAUAAGGCAAAGCACGCUAACUUGACAAAGCCAAGUGAAAUUGAGAGAAAUGGUGUGGAAUUUUUUUUUUCUUUUUCUUGGGAUGAUUUGUGAGUAGUUGGCUAACUUAAAAUAUAAGUACUUCAAUACAGUACAAAUACUAACUCAGCAAAUUAAAAAAAUUUGCAAAUUUAAUCCAUUACUUUUGGAUAUUAUGAAAAUUUAACCUCCAUCAUACUAUUCGGCCAAAUUUAUUUUUAUUGUUAUAUUAUUCGGCCAAAAUUACCCCUAAUUUUAAUAAACUUUUAAAAUCACCCAAAACCCGAAUAGCAACCCACCAUCUCUAGUAAAAGAGAAAGAAUACAUAUAUCUAACAAUACUAUUUUUUGUUGCCUCGUUAAAAACCUGCAAGGAAAAUCCAUUGGUACAAAUCCUUGUAAGGAAAAAAUAGUACAAUACAUAUUAACUGCCCCUUAGCAUUUCAAUCUUUUGCACCAUCUUCAAAAGCACUAUGUGAUCGACGACAGCUGACUUAUAAAGAAGGCGGCGAGAGAUGUGUUGGGGUUAUCUUCUGGCCGCGUCGGUGACCAUAAAGGAGACUGGUGGUGUAAUGCAAUUGUCCAAGGUAAAUUGGAAGCAAAGAAGGCAGCUUACCUAAGGUUAGUAGGGGGCACCGGUGAGGAGGAGAAGAGAGAGAACAAGGAGAGAUAUACGGUAGCUAGGAAGGAGGUGAAGAUGGCAGUAAUGGAGGCUAAGAUGACAGCUUUUGCUCGUUUGUAUGAGGAGCUAGGUAACAAAGGCGGGGAGAAAAAGUUAUUCCGACUCGCUAAGCUGAGAGAGAAGGUGGCUCGGGAUCUGGACCAGGUGAGGUGCACAAAAGAUGAGGACGACAAAGUUGUGAUGGGGGAUGACCAGAUUAAGAGGAGAUGGCAGACCUACUUUCAUAAACUUCUAAAUGAAGAAGGGGAUCAGGAUAUUGUACUAGGUGGAUAUCGACGACAGCUGACUUAUAAAGAAGGCGGCGAGAGAUGUGUUGGGGUUAUCUUCUGGCCGCGUCGGUGACCAUAAAGGAGACUGGUGGUGUAAUGCAAUUGUCCAAGGUAAAUUGGAAGCAAAGAAGGCAGCUUACCUAAGGUUAGUAGGGGGCACCGGUGAGGAGGAGAAGAGAGAGAACAAGGAGAGAUAUACGGUAGCUAGGAAGGAGGUGAAGAUGGCAGUAAUGGAGGCUAAGAUGACAGCUUUUGCUCGUUUGUAUGAGGAGCUAGGUAACAAAGGCGGGGAGAAAAAGUUAUUCCGACUCGCUAAGCUGAGGGAGAGGGCGGCUCGGGAUCUGGACAAGGUGAGGUGCAUAAAAGAUGAGGACGACAAAGUUUUGAUGUGGGGUGACCAGAUUGAGAGGAGAUGGCAGGCUUACUUUCAUAAACUUCUAAAUGAAGAAGGAGAUCAUGAUUUCGUACUAGAUGGAUUGAGGAAUGCCGACACCUCCCAUGAAUUAAGUUAUUGUAAGGACAUUGAGGUCGAUAAGUUCAUCAAGGCAAUGUGUAAGAUGAGGAGGGGCAGAGCUACCAGGCCAGACGAAAUUCCGCUUGAACUUUGGAGGUGUGUGGGUAGAGCAGGAUUAGAAUGGCUUACUGGGUUGUAUACUGAGAUAUUCAAGAAUAAUAGGAUGCCUGAAGAGUGGAGGUGGAGUACAAUGGUUCCGUUGUAUCAAAACAAAGGCGAUAUCCAGAGAUGUAACAACUAUAGAGGUAUCAAAUUACUAAGUCAUACCAUGAAAGUCUGGGAGAAAGUAGUAGAGAUGAGAGUGCGAAGGACCGUGUCUAUCUAAGAUAACCACUUCGGGUUUAUGACGGGACGAUCUACCACAGAAUAUAUCCAUCUUAUUAGGAGGAUGGAUGAACAGUACAUGGAUAAGAAGAAGGACCUCCACAUGGUGUUAUUAUGCUAGAGAAAGCGUAUGACAGGGUUCCUAGAGAGGUCUUAUGGAGCUGCUUAGAGGUUAUAGGGUUCAAGUAAACUACAUUAGGGUGAUUAGAGACAUGUAUGAAGGAGCUAAGACUUGGGUUAGGAUAGUAGUUGGCAAUUUUGAGCAUUUUCCAGUUGUUACGGGGUUGCACCAAGGGUCUGCACUCAGCCGUUUCCUAUUUGGCCUGGCGAUAGAUGCCAUAACACAUCAUAUUCAAGGGGAGGUUCCAUGGUGCAUGCUAUUUGCUGAUGAAAUAGUCCUAAUUGACGAGACAGGACGCGGCGUCAACGAAAGGCUAGAGGUUUGGAGACAUGACCUUGAGUCUAAAGGUUUUCGGGUUGAGAAGGACAAAGACGGAAUCCCUCGAGUGCAAAUUUGGGGCAGAGCCGACGGAAGCGGGAGUGUAAGUGAGGCUUGACUCUCAAAUCAUCCCUAAGAAGAGUAGUUUCAAAUACCUUGGGUCAGUCAUAAGACUCCUUAAAAAGACUAAUAACUUUGAUUGGACCCGGAUUGUCAGCAAGAUUUGAACGAUUUGAAAAGGUCUUUUUCAAGUCCUCGACUUUCUGGAGGAAGGUCAAAUGUGGAAAGUUAAAUUUUUGAAGUUUUUGGAUUGAUAAUGAAAAUUUGAUAUCAGGGUCGGAAUCCAAUUCCUAAAGUUGGAAUAGCUCUGUAGUGUUGAAUGUGACUUGUGUGCAAAAUUUGGGGUCAAUCAGACUUGGUUUGGUUGGUUUCGACAUUGGUUGAAUGAUUCUUGAAAUUUUAAGUUCUUUAGGCUUGUAUUGAAGGUCGAUUCGUGGUUAUAGCAUUGUUUGAUGUGAUUUGAGAGCGGUACUAAGUUCAUAUGAUAGAUUGGUUGGCAUAUUUGGUUGAGGUCUCGGGGGCAUCGGGAAAGUUUCGGAUGAUUAACAGAAGAGAAUUUGGACAUAGAAAAAUGAUGAAGUUGCUGAACAUAUUGGUUUCGCACCUCUGGAGCUUGGACUGCAGGUGCGACGCCACAUGAGCUGUUUGGGAAUGCGGCCCAGAGACCACAGAAGUGGACCACAUCUGCGAUUAAGUGGGUGCAGGUGUGGAGUUUGGUCAUUUAAUGAAAUCUCGCAGGUGUCAGUCCCCGGCUGCAGAAGCGAGACCGCAGGUGCGGUCCCACAAUCAGAGAAGCUGAAAUCGCUGAACAGGAAUAUGAAAGCUCAGGGUAGGGUGUUUCUGUUGGGAUUUUGAAGAGAAGAUAUUGGGUAAUGAUUCCUAAUACCUUUCUUGUUGUAUUCUAUUAAUCUAUUAUUAGUUUUGUCAUUUAAUUUCAGAAUUGGGGUAAAAAAUUGGGAGAAAAAAAGGAAAAGUUCCCCAAGCUAAAAUCUAAGUUUUGAGGGAGAUUUUGGCGUCGAAUUUUGAUGAUCUUUGAGUGUGCUCGUUAGUGAAUUGUUGCUUCAUAAUCCGUAAAUUUUAACCGAUUCCGAGACAUGGGCCCGGAGAGGAGUUUUUGGUGUUUUUCUGUUUAUUACCUUAACCACGAGUUCGUUAGCUUAAUUUUUUUGUUUGUAGUUGUAUUUACGUUAUGAAAUAUAUUUUAAUAGAUUUGGGCCACUCGGAGUUCGCUACUCUUGAAAAGAGCGUGGUUUUGGAUUGAUUUUGAAUUGAUUCGAGGUAAGUGACUUGCCUAACCUUGUGUGGGGGACUCCCCUUGGAAUUUUGGUAUUGUUGUUAUAUGAGUGUCGUGUAAGUGAGGUGACGAGUGUGUACACAUUAUAAUUGUUGAAAACACAUCUUUUUUCAUUAAGUAAAUACUUGUAUUUUUCUUGUAAUCGAAUAAUACUUGUACUUGAAGCCUCAUGUUUAGUUUAGGAAAAGAAUGCUUAUGUGAUCAAAUUGUCUUAAAUGCUUAAACUGUUUACUUGUACUCUGUGCACUAUGUUUAUAGUAAAAUUCCCGUUUAUUCUCGAGUGAAACUGUAAAAUCUUUCUUGAUACUGCUGUGUGUUUACUUUGGGACUAUGGGACGAUAACCCUGGAGAUCCCCCUGCAUGUUUACUUUUGGACUACGGAUAGACAUUCCGAGAGAUCUAUUGCACGUUUAUAUUUGGGACUACGAGACGGCUCCUGGAUGAUUCCCUUGUAUUGAUAUUUACUUUGGGACUACGAAUGAAUAUUCUGGGAGAUCCCCUUGCAUAUUUAUGAUUUGGAGUGCGGGACAAUAUCCAGAGAGAUUCCCUGCAUAUUUAUGUUUGGAACACGGGACAAUAUCUUGCGAGAUCCCCGGUUGUUAUCUUUGUGUACUGAACAUAUUAUGUCUGUGAUUUUACUAUUUAUCGAGUAUUAGUAUUCUUAGUUAUAUUGUCUCACUUCAUAUUGCUUUACCUUGUUACAUAUAUAUAUGACCGGUAGGGCCCUGAACUUCCUUGUCACUACUCAACCGAGGUUAAGCUUGGUACUUACUGGGUACCGCUGUGGUGUACUCGUGCCCUUUCAUGUACAUGUUUUGUGUGUGCAGAUCCAAGUUCUUCUGCGCAACCACACCAUCAUUGAGGCAAGGCGUAAAUUAAAGAUUUUGAGGUAUAUGUGUCUCGUCCGCAGAUCGAGGAGUCCCUCUCUAUUCUCUAUUUAGCUAUUGACCUUCUGUAAUUACUUUGAUUAGGCUUCUGGAGUUAGAACACUUUGUAUUUCCCUAGUUUGUGAUUCAUGAGAUUAUGGGUUUUUGGAGUGUUAUUAUUGGUCGAGAGUGGUUAUUAUUGUAUAUGCUGAGCGACAUUUUAAACUUUCUCUAUUAUAUUUCCCGUAAAUUUUGUAUCUUUAUUUCCUGUUUUUUCGCAAAUUAUUAGGCUUACCUAGUCGUAGAGACUAGGUGCCGUCUCGAUAGUUCAUGAAGGGAGAACUUUUGUCGUGACAUGUCUAUAAACAAAUUACAAACAAACACACUUUUCAAAUGUUUUUGCUAAACAAAAAUUUAUCAUUUUCCCAAAACACAUGCAGCUUUGUUAGAUUGUUGUUACAUGUGGUUUUAUAAUAUAUCGUAUUGUAUUGUAUUAUAUUGUAUAUUGAAUUAUUUGAUGAAUAUAGCGUUUGGAUAGAUUGUAUUAUUUGUCGUAGUUUUUAAUAUCACACACCAACAAUAUGAAAAAAAAACUUGCAACAUUACUAAGAAAAAAUAGGAUACAUAGUAGAAAAUACUAUACAUAAAAGUAGGGUAAAGGAUAAAAUAUAAUUAUUUAAUAAUAAAAAGUGCAAAACGAGAGAAUAAAUUAAAGCAAAGUAACGAGACCCACACCAAAUCUAUUGUUCUAUAAAGUGACACUUUUUAUCGUUACGAUACGAUACAACAAUAUUUAAAUAACAAUUAAAACAAACAUUGUAUUUAAAAUAACAAUACAACAUAACAACCAUCCAAACCAGUUGUUAAUGACACUAUUCAUAUCAUAUAUAGUAAAUAUUAUCUCCCAUUAAGUUUCGUGCCACUUUAAUUGGGAUAAUAGAGAACAUAUAUUUCAUAAUAACUGCAUAUAAGAUGACAACAACAAGAAACAUGGUUACAUAUUCAUUUUCUUACAUAAACUUGGACAAGUAGGAAACACAACAUUAUAUUAUUUAAAAUGCUUGAAUAUAACACGAGAUCAAGCAUUUAUAAAUAGUUCAUAUAUUGCAGCAAUAUAAUUUAUAUUUUGUUGUGCUUAGCGCGGAGUAUAGUUCCAAAAUAACCUUCACCAGUAGCAGUAAGCGAGUCACAUUGAGAUCUCCAUCCCUGAAAUGCAGAUGGAACACAAUUGGAGCAAAUCCAACCAUCACUGCAAUCGCUUUCGACAUUGCAGUAUUUCAAGCAAGUUACUAUAUCACCUAAUGGAAGUAAUUUAUCUUUCAUCAUUGCAACCUCUUCGGGUAAGUCUCGUAAAGCCAUCACUUGCAACUUAGGAGAUCCAGAGAGAUUAAC